GACAGCGGGCAUUUGCCCCGUGACCACCUUCUCCCCACCCCGGCUCAGAACCCACCCCACCCUCCCCUCUCCGGCUCAGAGCCCAUCUGCAGAAGGCACACGCAUGAGCGGUUGACUGGGUGAAGCCCAGGACCCUCCCAGAGCCAAGUGGAGCCAACCGGAUGAAAGCCUGGGGAGCACAGAGGCGGCCCCUGGGAAGGAAGGCAUCUCCCGGCUGCCCCGCGGAAUGCGGACUGGGGUUUGCAACUUCCUCUCUGGUCUGAAUCCCCAGCCAGCCCGGUGCCCUCCCUGCGGGCUCAGCAGCCGUGGUCUGUCCCGGGUGUGCGUGCUUCUGUGGGAGGUCACAUGUGUCCACGUCCCACUCACGAGGUCUCCCUGAGGACCCGCCCAGCGCUGAGGGUCCGUGCCGUCUCUGCGGUCGGGCCAGAUGGCCACACGCUCCGGAGGACAGGGUGCCGGGGCCUCAUGCGUCCUCUGGACACUCAACAAGCUUAUGAAACAGUGAGGAAAAAUCAACACUGUCGGCUCAUAACAACUGGCCUGGGCCCGCCCCCCAGGAAGCCAGCCUAGCAGGGACCCAGCCCCCACUGCCCCCAGCGUCCGGGCACAGGAGGAGAAGAACGGGCCUCUCCCGCAGCCGCCGCCCAUCUGUGAGGCCCGAGCCACUCCCUUCCCUUUCGGCCUCCGAGGUGCCCUGCCUCCCGCGCUGGGCCGCUGGGGGUCACGGGGUGGGUACCGGCCCUUUGCUCACCUUCCCACCAUCCCCUCCCUCCUCUGGUAAAAACACGCUCGGAUUUCAGGAUA